AAAACAGCCCUACGGGAGGCAGCAGUGAGGAAUAUUGGUCAAUGGGCGCAAGCCUGAACCAGCCAUGCCGCGUGCAGGAUGACGGUCCUAUGGAUUGUAAACUGCUUUUGUACGGGAAGAAACACUCGAACGUGUUCGGGCUUGACGGUACCGUAAGAAUAAGGAUCGGCUAACUCCGUGCCAGCAGCCGCGGUAAUACGGAGGAUCCAAGCGUUAUCCGGAAUCAUUGGGUUUAAAGGGUCCGUAGGCGGUCUGGUAAGUCAGUGGUGAAAGCCCAUCGCUCAACGGUGGAACGGCCAUUGAUACUGCCAGACUUGAAUUUCCAGGAAGCAACUAGAAU
rnacentral:rRNA from 1 species